CUAUUUUCGACCUUUUGGCUAAGAUCAAGAGAAGUAUCUGUUCUUAUUAGUUUAAUAUCUGAUACAUCUUCUAUUUGAGGACUAUAUAUUAAAUGGAUUUUUGGGCCUGGGAGAUGGAAUAGGGGUUUGCUCCAUCCACUCCACGCAUCAACUUGGCUGGUUAGUAGCCAGCUGCAAUAAAU
ensembl:snRNA U2 U2 spliceosomal RNA